AUACCUUUCUCGGCAUUUUGACUAAGAUCAAAUGUAGUGUCUGUUCUUCUCAGUCCGAUAUGUGGGCCAUCGGCUCACGCGAUAUUAAAUAUAUUUUUUGAGGGUAAGGAUCUAUCGAAGUAGCUUGCUACUUGGGUCUUCAAGCGUCGCCCAUGUGUUGCACUAUUACACGGGCCUGGCGCACCAAAC